UACAGAGGGGGCAAGCGUUGUUCGGAAUUACUGGGCGUAAAGGGCGCGUAGGUGGCCUUCUAAGUUGAACGUGAAAUCCCUGGGCUCAACCCAGGAACUGCGUCCAAGACUGGGAGGCUUGAAUCCGGGAGAGGGAUGCGGAAUUCCAGGUGUAGCGGUGAAAUGCGUAGAUAUCAGGAGGAACACCGGUGGCGAAGGCGCACAUCUGGCCCGGUACUGACGCUGAGGUGCGAAAGCGUGGGGAGCAAACAGG
rnacentral:rRNA from 1 species